UACGGAGGGUGCAAGCGUUGUCCGGAUUCAUUGGGCGUAAAGCGAGUGUAGGCGGUUUGACAAGUCGAAUGUGAACUCACGGGGCCCAACCCCGGAACUGCAUCCGAUACUGUCUGGCUAGAGUCCCGGAGAGGGUGGCGGAAUUCCCGGUGUAGGGGUGAAAUCCGUAGAUAUCGGGAGGAACACCAGUGGCGAAGGCGGCCACCUGGACGGUGACUGACGCUGAGACUCGAAAGCGUGGGUAGCAAACAGG
rnacentral:rRNA from 1 species